rnacentral:rRNA from 1 species
AUUGAACGCUGGCGGCAUGCCUUGCACAUGCAAGUCGAACGGCAGCGCGGGGGCAACCCUGGCGGCGAGUGGCGAACGGGUGAGUAGAAUAUCGGAACGUGCCCUAAAGUGGGGGAUAACGUAGCGAAAGUUACGCUAAUACCGCAUACGAUCUUAGGAUGAAAGCGGGGGAUUCGAAAGGACCUCGUGCUUUAGGAGUGGCCGAUAACCGAUUAGCUAGUUGGUGGGGUAAAGGCCUACCAAGGCGACGAUCGGUAGCUGGUCUGAGAGGACGACCAGCCACACUGGGACUGAGACACGGCCCAGACUCCUACGGGAGGCAGCAGUGGGGAAUUUUGGACAAUGGGGGCAACCCUGAUCCAGCAAUGCCGCGUGUGUGAAGAAGGCCU